rnacentral:rRNA from 1 species
GCUCGAGUGGCGAACGGGUGAGUAACACGUGAGUAACCUGCCCUUGACUUUGGGAUAACUUCAGGAAGCUGGGGCUAAUACCGGAUAGGAGCUCCUGCUGCAUGGUGGGGGUUGGAAAGUUUCGGCGGUUGGGGAUGGAUUCGCGGCUUAUCAGCUUGUUGGUGGGGUAGUGGCUUACCAAGGCUUUGACGGGUAGCCGGCCUGAGAGGGUGACCGGCCACAUUGGGACUGAGAUACGGCCCAG